GACGAACGCUGGCGGCGUGCUUAACACAUGCAAGUCGAACGGAAAGGCCCUGCUUUUGUGGGGUGCUCGAGUGGCGAACGGGUGAGUAACACGUGAGUAACCUGCCCUUGACUUUGGGAUAACUUCAGGAAACUGGGGCUAAUACCGGAUAGGAGCUCCUGCCGCAUGGUGGGGGUUGGAAAGUUUCGGCGGUUGGGGAUGGACUCGCGGCUUAUCAGCUUGUUGGUGGGGUAGUGGCUUACCAAGGCUUUGACGGGUAGCCGGCCUGAGAGGGUGACCGGCCACAUUGGGACUGAGAUACGGCCCAGACUCCUACGGGAGGCAGCAGUGGGGAAUAUUGCACAAUGGGCGGAAGCCUGAUGCAGCACCGCCGCGUGCGGGAUGACGGCCUUCGGGUUGUAAACCGCUUUCGCCUGUGACGAAGCGUGAGUGACGGUAAUGGGUAAAGAAGCACCGGCUAACUACGUG
rnacentral:rRNA from 1 species